AGAGUUUGAUUAUGGCUCAGAUUGAACGCUGGCGGAAUGCUUUACACAUGCAAGUCGAACGGCAGCACGGGAGCUUGCUCCUGGUGGCGAGUGGCGAACGGGUGAGUAAUGCGUCGGAACGUACCGAGUAAUGGGGGAUAACGCAGCGAAAGCUGUGCUAAUACCGCAUACGCCCUGAGGGGGAAAGUGGGGGAUCGCAAGACCUCACGUUAUUCGAGCGGCCGACGUCUGAUUAGCUAGUUGGUGGGGUAAAGGCUCACCAAGGCGACGAUCAGUAGCGGGUCUGAGAGGAUGAUCCGCCACACUGGAACUGAGACACGGUCCAGACUCCUACGGGAGGCAGCAGUGGGGAAUUUUGGACAAUGGGGGCAACCCUGAUCCAGCCAUUCCGCGUGAGUGAAGAAGGCCUUCGGGUUGUAAAGCUCUUUCAGCCGGAACGAAACGGUACAUCUUAAUACGGUGUGCUAAUGACGGUACCGGCAGAAGAAGCACCGGCUAACUACGUGCCAGCAGCCGCGGUAAUACGUAGGGUGCGAGCGUUAAUCGGAAUUACUGGGCGUAAAGCGUGCGCAGGCGGAUUGUUAAGCAAGAUGUGAAAUCCCCGGGCUUAACCUGGGAAUGGCAUUUUGAACUGGCAGUCUAGAGUGUGUCAGAGGGGGGGUGGAAUUCCACGUGUAGCAGUGAAAUGCGUGGAUAUGUGGAGGAACACCAAUGGCGAAGGCAGCCCCCUGGGAUAACACUGACGCUCAUGUACGAAAGCGUGGGUAGCAAACAGGAUUAGAUACCCUGGUAGUCCACGCCCUAAACGAUGUCAACUGGUUGUUGGGGGGAGUGAAAUCCCUUAGUAACGAAGCUAACGCGUGAAGUUGACCGCCUGGGGGAGUACGGUCGCAAGAUUAAAACUCAAAUGAAUUGACGG
rnacentral:rRNA from 1 species